rnacentral:rRNA from 1 species
UGGGUAACCUGCCUCAAAGAGGGGAAUAGCUCCCGAAAGGGAGAUUAAUACCGCAUAAUAUGUUUUAAUCGCAUGAUUUUGACAUCAAAGGUAUUUUCUUCGGAACUUCCACUUUUAGAUGGACCCGCGGCGCAUUAGCUAGUUGGUGAGGUAACGGCUCACCAAGGCAACGAUGCGUAGCCGACCUGAGAGGGUNAUCGGCCACAUUGGAACUGAGACACGGUCCAGACUCCGUAGGAGG